rnacentral:rRNA from 1 species
UAGCGGCGGACGGGUGAGUAAUGCCUAGGAAUCUGCCUGGUAGUGGGGGAUAACGUUCCGAAAGGAACGCUAAUACCGCAUACGUCCUACGGGAGAAAGCAGGGGACCUUCGGGCCUUGCGCUAUUAGAUGAGCCUAGGUCGGAUUAGCUAGUUGGUGAGGUAAUGGCUCACUAAGGCGACGAUCCGUAACUGGUCUGAGAGGAUGAUCAGUCACACUGGAACUGAGACACGGUCCAGACUCCUACGGGAGGCAGCAGUGGGGAAUAUUGGACAAUGGGCGAAAGCCUGAUCCAGCCAGGCCGCGUGUGUGAAGAAAGUCUUCGGAUUGUAAAGCACUUUAAGUUGGGAGGAAGGGCUGCUGGUUAAUACCCUGCAGUUUUGACGUUACCAACAGAACAAGCACCGGCUAACUUCGUGCCAGCAGCCGCGGUAAUACGAAGGGUGCAAGCGUUAAUCGGAAUUACUGGGCGUAAAGCGCGCGUAGGUGGUUCGUUAAGUUGGAUGUGAAAGCCCCGGGCUCAACCCGGGAACUGCAUCCAAAACUGGCGAGCUAGAGUACGGUAGAGGGUGGUGGAAUUUCCUGUGUAGCGGUGAAAUGCGUAGAUAUAGGAAGGAACACCAGUGGCGAAGGCGACCACCUGGACUGAUACUGACACUGAGGUGCGAAAGCGUGGGGGAGCAAACAGGAUUUAGAUACCCUGGUAGUCCACGCCGUAAACGAUGUCAACUAGCCGUUGGAAUCCUUGAGAUUUUAGUGGCGCUGCUAACG